GACAGAAAUCAUGACAGUAAUAUUUUUCCAAUUAUUUUUACAAUUAUUUUUCUUCAUUAUUUUUAAUUUCAGGUUUAUUCAAGUUACAAGGUUAGGUUAGUUACAAGGAUACAACUUAUAGAAAAUAAAUAUUUUUCAGGUAAUAUUCUGAACAUAUUUAUAAUACUUCUAUUUCUCAUACUAUAAAUAGGUCUUACACAUUACAACACAAGUAGUUGUCUUUACUAGAGGGCGAAAAAAUAAAUAAAUCUGGAAAUCUGUGGCAACAAAAUUUGAAAAUACCUCCUUUAGAGUAAAAAAUAAACCCCAGCGUACACGGGUAAACCAAUUAAAUCUAGUCAAAGCUUUGUCUUUUAUUCAGGUGCUCAUGACCUUCUUGGAGUGAAAGCAACUAUAGCAAACAACAGAUCUUCUAAAAAAACUUCUAAAGCACUGAAAAAUUUUCAAACACACUGACUGUGCCACAUGACUCCUAAAAAAAAAAAAGUGUUGACUAGGCUGAAUUGUUUAAAUAAAAAACUGCUUGUUCCCAUGCCAGAGCCCAAUGUGCCACUAAGAAGUCCAAGAGAAUUUCAGUUCCCAGAUAUGAGUCCUAUAAACGUUGAUCCCCGACACCACAACCGAUGCGCUACAGAAAUAAAAUCUCUUAUUAGAGCCCAGACCCUGAAAUUACCCAAAUUCAGCGCACAUGGAAAUCAUAAGACAGCGUCAGCAAGGGAGAAGUUUGCACCAAGUGGCUUUUCAGCAUGUGGCAACAGAGGGCCGGGCAUUUCAAAAGUGCCAAUUAGUUCCCCCUGCCAGAAUGAAGUAGGUAAGAGGGUGGAAGAGGAAGAUGCCAAAUUAUACUGACACAAACAAAACUGCUAGAAAUACCCAAGGAUCCAGUAUACAACUGUAUAUCUUGCUUAGACGGCAUCUCCUAUGGUUUCAUGCUCAUUAAUUAAUGACAGCAACUAUGACACGUACAUUAUUAAUGUAAAACAUGCAGACCUAGAGUAAAUGUAUCCAGAAAAUUCAUGGUUACUAUAUUUCUUAUUUUAGCAGGUCACAAUGCUCAGCUGCAUCUGAAAUUCGGCCAACAAUUCAGCAAAUCAACAAAUACGUGCCUGUGAUCCACUCACACGUGUGGCAUUAUCAGUUCAUCUUAAUGCCAGUCAAAAUAUAGACCACACAUUUUCUCCAGCCAGCCUUUAGCCUCAGGAGUCAUUCUGUCUUUAUGAGCAAAACCAGAACUGACAGAAUACUAAACUAAUUACAUGGACCGAACGAAGAGUUGUAUCAGAAGACAGCACAGGAUCAAGAAAAUGAUGUUGUCCCUGGUCAAAUUAUUCCAGACUUCUGAUGCAAUUGCAUACAAUUUGCUCAUGAGUUUUUCCAGAUCGUUCAAUAUUGCUGACAAGCUUCAUGCACACUUUGAUAUUCUUGAUAUAUGCUUGUUUGUUUUUAAUAAAUAAAAACUCUGGAUGGUUGAAACCCUCGCCUGCAGUGCUCACGUAUGGUCAUGUAUAUUAUAGGCUCCCUUCUUAAAAUAACUCCUGACGGACAGAAUUGCUGUGUAGAAGGACCUGGGAAAGGGCAACAAAACCGGAGUAACAAAUAAUGCAUGUCUAUAGCAUAACAAGAGUGGCAUUGUUCUGCUGGCGCCCCACUGCAUAAAUGAAGUUAAAGGGACAGUUCACUCAAAAAUUAAAAGUCUAUCAUCAUUUAUUCACCCUCAUGUUGUUGUAAACCUGCAUGACUUCCUUUCUUCCACAACAGGAGCUGUAAGGCACAAUGUCUUGACUGACACACACAUGAAAAAUAUGCAGUGAAAGUGAGUAACUGUGAAUGCCAAACAUCUCCCUUUGUUUUACAUGGAAAAAAUAAAAGUCGUACAUGUUUUGAGUUGUUACAACAUUGAGUAAAUGAUGACAGGAUUUUGAUUUUUGGCUGAACUUGCCUUUUAACGCGCGUGAGCGUUCUCAUGUAAAUCUCACUGACACGUUUCUUUGAAGCCCCACCAAAAAUAUCGCCAAAACAGGUCAAAUAAUACUUUAUAACAGAGCGGUACGGAUAUAAGAGUUGGUUUGAGCUGCACUGUGAAAUAUUACGAUUUGGAAACGUAAAAUAAAUAAAUAAAUAAACCUCAUUAUAGCAAACAUAGCGAUGUUUGAUUAUAAUGCGAUUAGAACAGAACUCAGCAGACAUCGUCUUUAAAGGCAGCCUACGGCUUUUUGUUAAAAAACAGAAAAAAAGAAGAAAAAAAAAGACCACUAUGUUUGUAUAAUAUAUCUAUGUGGGAGUGUGCGUUUCAAAAUAUGCACGCUCAUCAACCGACGGUGGCAUCUUCUUUAAAAAAAAAUGUACUAAAUCUUAUCCAUGUACGUGUUUGGAAUUAAUUUCUUAACGCCUUUUUCAUAAUCACACCGGACUGAACCAGUUCAAAUAUAUGCAUAAGUAAACAAAACACUGAUUGCACAACACUAAUAUGUGGCAUAUUUUAUAUAAGAUAAAGCAUCUUAUGAUAAGUGAGCUCGCGCACGGGCAGCUUAGUGAUAGAAGAAUGUCCCGCGACACUUGCUCUGUAUGUGUAUGUAUUUUACCAGAGAAUAUGCGCUGUGCAAUACAGAUUACCUGUGGUCAAUAGUUCAACUUCAUUAUCUAGUUCGAUUACAUGACAGAACUACGUUACAUUGCGCCCUGCACUUGCUCCUAAUCAAGCGCUUGACAAGAAAUUGAGACCACGAGGCACUAAAAUGAGACUUACAGCGACAAAAUAUGCACUCCGAUCUGGCUAUAUGGGUGUGUUUUGGUGACCUCUCAGAAAUUGCCCAGCAGUAGCUGAACCAGUUAAACGCUCACUUAAAGGCUGGCUAAGAAAUGGAAAGCAGAAUCCUCUUGAGAGGAACUAUUGUAACAUUUCGGGCCUCCAGACCAAAUAUGUGAGGAAAAAAUGUAGAACAAAAGGCUGGGAAAUGGAAUGGAGGCCCACUGACAAGAAAAGAAAAGCAGUCUUCGUGGUGUGCUGGGGGUCUUGUUUCCCAGACAAGUAAACGGGUAACCAAAUCUCUUUGUGGGUGAAGUCAGGGGGUCUCCAGUGUGACUGCAUUGAUCUGCAAUCUGCAAGACAGAAAGAAGAGAACAGAAGCCUGGCCCCGCCACACAUGGGAGACUUAUCACAGGCCCGCAGAUGGUCCAUUUCCAAAUCAAGCAGUCGAUGCCUUUACACUUCGAUUUUUUCCAUUUCAUGAGAACACAAAUGUUAAUGGAGGCAUUGCCAGUAAUUAUCACGAUGCCAGUCUUGAAGAUGCCAUUACUGUGGACAACAUAAAAAGUAACCUUAAAGAUCACACGUAAAUUAGUUUUUCAAAUGCUUUGUAUUUAAAUGAUUUAAUCAUGUAUGUUGGUUCAACACUAAUGCAAUUGAAAAAAAAUAUAUUUGGUUUAACGUUUGUCAGAAAAACAAUUUGUUCUCAACAUAAUGGAAUAAAGUUAUUUUAAGUGAUCCAGUUAAGUAUGCCCAGUAUGAUUCAUUUCCUAAGCUGUUUGUGUCUAACUCAGUUAUAUUAGGCCUAAAACCCUAUGCUAGAUACCUAUCAAUAGCACACUUCAGCAUACUAAAUGUAAAACAGCCAUUGCUCAUGUAUUAACACAACUAACAACAUACCGUUCCUGUAACUGACCUCAACAGUGUUCCUACUGCACAAAAAAUAGAGCAUGGUACUAAAAACACAUAAUAGGUUUGAUUUCCAAGAAAUCCAAGCUAUAAUGAAAUGUGCACCUUGUGUGUAAUGUAACUUACUCUAGAUAAAAGUGUAUACCUAAGCAAAAGCUCGAUUCUUCCUCACAAUGAUAAUGCUUGGUACAGAAUGGUACAGAAACUGUUGUAAAUCCCGACAUACCUGGAUAUGAAACACUACCAAGGCUCAUCUUUAUCAAAAUCUUUCCAUUAAAUGUGCACUAAGCGAUUUCUGAGAAAUGCUGUUGAAAAUUGAAAUCAACACCUAAACAAACAAUUUUGUGAAUAUUUGCUAGAUGUUUGUUCUGUGUGUGUGCUUGGCUGUGAAAACAGGAGAAAAAACAAAGUGGACUGGACUGACCAAAACACUCUUGUAGCCAAUCAGCAAUAGUGAGCAACAGCCAAUAAGCAAGCAGGACAUUUGUAGAAAGACUGUAGAAAGACAGAUGGCUAAAAAAUAUUACCAAAAAGGAAAAGGUCAGAGGAAUAUAAUUAGAAGAAGAAGGGUUAUGAUCAGACAAGAGCUAGGACCCGCGUUAUAUGUAUUUUUCUGACUGCUAAAACAUAAAAAUAGCAUAAUAUUUUUGUAGAUAUUUAAGAAACAUGCUAAGUUCACAUACUUGUUUCUCUGGAAAACAAUGCUACAGCCAGUUGUUUUACUUUGAAAUAUGAAUUCUGUGUCGGAAUGUCUGUUUUUGUUUUGGUCUGUGUGGUUCCGCCCACUGCCGAUUUUCCCAAUAGUAACUCCCCGGGUUGCCAGUUGGUGGAAAAUAAAACAUAUUGCUGCCAACAAUGAAGAUCGAAGAUUCCACCAGACCUAAAAAGCCUUGGCAUCCAUCUAAAAAUCUAUAUGAAGCAUAUUAAGAGCAUAUUAAAAUGCAGAUAAUUCAACUUACACUGUGUUCAACUUACAGUGAUAAAUCAACUUACAAUGAGCCUCCUCGCCUUCCAUUGUCAAUUGCGCUCCCUCUUGUUGCAUAUCCUCAAUCUGGCAACCCGCUUGAGCGUCAAGUCUGAGGAGGAGGGGGCUGGGGAAACAACUCUAUCCAACAUUUUGCAGUACCCAUUUCAACCACUAUUUAUACCUUUAAUAUUGAAAAAGCUUUAAUAUUAGAAUGACAAGGUACCUUUGUUUCUGCUCAAUACAUGAGUAACAUUAUAUGCUGUUGUUGUUGAAUUAGGACAGUUUCAUAUCUUGACACAAGUGGAUGAAGCAAAGUUGAAUUUUACAGAUUCAAGUUAAGAAU